rnacentral:rRNA from 1 species
CGACCUGCACGAAUGGCGUAACGAUGGGGGCGCUGUCUCUACCCGAGACUCAGUGAAAUUGAAAUCGCCGUGAAGAUGCGGUGUAUCCGCGGCUAGACGGAAAGACCCCGUGAACCUUUACUAUAGCUUCACAGUGAACUUUGAGCAUGUUUGUGUAGGAUAGCUGGGAGGCUUUGAAGUGGGAACGCCAGUUCUCAUGGAGCCAACCUUGAAAUACCAGCCUGACAUGUUUGAGGUUCUAACUUGGUCCCCUUAUCGGGGAUGAGGACACUGUGUGGUGGGUAGUUUGACUGGGGCGG